UACAGAGGUCUCGAGCGUUGUUCGGAUUCAUUGGGCGUAAAGGGCGCGUAGGCGGCGGGGUAAGUCUGGUGUGAAAUCUCGGAGCUCAACUCCGAAAUUGCACUGGAUACUGCUCUGCUAGAGGGCUGGAGAGGAGAUCUGAAUUCACGGUGUAGCAGUGAAAUGCGUAGAUAUCGUGAGGAAGACCAGUGGCGAAGGCGGAUCUCUGGACAGCUCCUGACGCUGAGGCGCGAAGGCUAGGGGAGCAAACGGG
rnacentral:rRNA from 1 species